AGCAGCCGCGGUAAUUCCAGCUCCAAUAGCGUAUAUUAAAGUUGUUGCAGUUAAAAAGCUCGUAGUUGAAUUUCGGGAUCAAUUAAUUGGUCGUGCCUCUGGUACGCACUGGUUUUAUUGGUUUCUCCCUUCUGACGAACCACGAUGUCAUUAAUUUGGUGUCGUGGAGAAUCAGGACUGUUACUUUGAAAAAUUGAGUGUUUAAAGCAGGCUAACGCUUGAAUACAUUAGCAUGGAAUAAUGAAAUAGGACGUUUGAUCCUAUUUUGUGGUUUCUAGGAUCGACGUAAUGAUUAAUAGGGAUAGUUGGGGGCAG
rnacentral:misc_RNA from 1 species